GAUUAGCGAAUACUGAACCACCACCAAAUCGGAGAGAAAGAUAAUCGUCUCUGUGUGUGUCAAUGGCGGCCUUAAGCAUCUCACUCGCUUUCUCUGUUGAUUUUCUUAAACCAAGCCAAUCAACGAAGUUUGGUUUCUCUUCUUCCUCACCUAGAUAUCCAUUACUCUAUUCGUGUAGAUCUCACCGCUCCAAUCUCAGAUUCGCUUUCCCUCCUUCUUCGGUUUCGACAGCUACAGAAACUGGAGAAGAAGCUGCGAAAUCUACCGGAAGCUACGCGUUUCUAGAGGAAACGUUUCGAACUGGGAGGUUUUUGAGUAACGAUGAGUUAGAGAAGUUGAAAACUCUUGAAGGAUUUGCGUAUUUUCAGGAGCUUGAAUCUGGAUCGAUGUGGGUUCGAGUUAUGAGACAUGAAGAGAUGGAUUCAACGGUGCAUCUAUUGGCUGAGUCAUUUGGUGAAUCGAUGUUAUUGCCUUCUGGUUAUCAGUCUGUGUUACGGUUUUUGGUUAAGCAGUAUUUGAUUGAGAGGAGAGAAGUGUUGCCACACGCAGUUACUUUAGUUGGGUUCUUUAGGAAAAAAGUUGAUGGGUUUAGUGAUGAUGGAGAGGAGGAGGCUGAGAUGGCUGGAACUGUUGAGGUUUGUUUGGAUAAACGAGGCACUAAUGCUUCGCCUCCUUCUCCAACUCCUCCUAAGGAAUCACCUUAUAUUUGCAACAUGACUGUGAAAGAGGAUCUUAGAAGGAGGGGAAUUGGGUGGCAUUUGUUGAAGGCGAGUGAGGAAUUGAUAUCUCAGAUUAGUCCAUCAAAAGAUGUCUACUUGCAUUGUAGGAUGGUGGAUGAGGCUCCUUUCAAUAUGUACAAGAAAGCAGGAUACGAGGUUGUUAAGACAGAUACUGUUUUGGUCCUUUUGAUGUUACAACGGCGUAAACAUUUGAUGCGCAAGAAGCUUCCACUAUGCACCACCCCUACAGUAGAAAUGGUGGGGUCUGAUAAUGAGCUGACCUCCUCUGCAAAUGUGUAAACAUGGGAGCUAAAUGUGACAUGACCAAGGGUACGUGUUGAUAAUCCCGUUUGCUUCAACCUAUUGUUUAUAUGAUCUUAGUAGAGGUUUCCAUUUUGCAUAUAUUCAUAUACUAGGAACCGGUGUUUUCCAUCUGCACAAUAGCCAAUCAAUGAUACCAGAUUUGGAUGGUCGAGUCUGCUCAAGAUAUCCACCUCCACACGAAAUUCUCUUUCUCCAUCAGCCUUUUUAAACGUAGGUAAAUCCAUCUUCUUGAUUGCAACAACCUUCAAAUAACAAGGGAUCAAGAUAAUAUGUAUCCUACUCUAAUAGCUCCUCUUCCAUAGAAAAGUGUUUGUAACAUUACAAAGCCUGUAAAUCACAUAAAUGAAGCAAUAUAGUUCCUACCUCUCCUGUUUUUA